rnacentral:rRNA from 1 species
AUGGCAACAAUUGAGAUGGAGGACUUCUCUGGCCAGCAGCUCUGGGUUUUCAUCAUACUGAUGAUAUUGGGAGGAGAAGUGUUCACUUCUAUGGUAGGGCUGCACUUCAAAAAUGCUCGGGCCAACACUGAGGAUGCUCUCCAGACAAGAUUGGCUUUCAUAAGCAGGGACAUCGAAUCCUCUGAUGAUUUCAACAACAGCAGUCAGAAUUAUAUGGAAGGCAUCCAGUCAGAGGAAACCAUGCCGCACAAUCAGGUACAGGAAAGCAAAGGGAUGAAUCAUAAAUCUCGCAAUAUUUUGGCUCAUGUAGUAGCAGGCUAUUUCAUAGCAGCAAUAGUUUGCAGCUCUCUUGUCAUCACCAUCUUCCUUUGGAUUGAUUCCUAUGCAAGGCAUCUACUGAAGAGUAAACAUAUCAAAAUGUGGACAUUCUCAAUCUUCACAGCAGUAUCAUCAUUUGCAAACUGCGGCUUCACUCCGUUAAAUGAUAGCAUGGCAAUUUUCAAACAUAACCCGACUUUCCUUCUUCUAGUUACCCCACAGAUUCUUGUAGGCAACACUUUGUUUGCACCACUGUUGAGGUUAAGCAUAUGGACCUUGGGAAAGGUGAGCAGCAGAGAAGAGUACGCUUACAUCCUUCAGCACCCAAAGGAGAUUGGAUACAGGCAUUUGCAACCUUAUAAGAAUUCUGUCAAAUUGGUUCUGACUGGAGUGAUGCUAAUUUUGCUGCAAGCGAUGCUUAUUUGCUAUUUCGAAUGGGAUUCGAAGUCCUUGGAGGGAAUGGGAUGGUUCCAGAAAUUGAUAGGCUCGCUGUUCCAGAGUGCCGAUUCAAGACACGCUGGUGAAACUGUCAUUAACAUCUCGACCCUUUCUCCACCGAUUAUGGUGAUAUUUGCACUUGCCAUGUACCUUCCUUCUGGUACUUCAAUCCUCGCUACAUAUGGUGAUAUCCGAAGUUUAGCAGAUAAAAAGGAAAAUCCGAAUGGCAGAGCAACGUGGAAGAAGUUUGCCAUGACCAAGCGUACUUGUUUAGUAAUAUUCACAGUUUUGGCAUGUAUAACUGAGAGGAAGUCAAUGACUGCCGAUCCACUCAAUUUCAGCAUCUUCAGCGUGGUAUUCGAAGUGAUCAGCGCGUACGGCAAUGUAGGAUACUCGCUCGGCUACAUCUGCGACAAGUUACUGAAGCCUGAUUCCGCGUGCAGAGACGCCUCGUACGGGUUCGUCGGCAGGUGGAGCGACAAAGGGAGACUGAUCGUCAUCCUGGUGAUGUUCCUCGGGAGGUUCAAGGCGUACACCCUCAAAGGGAAGAAAACCCUGAAUGUGCAUCCAUGUAGAAGUGGAACACCACAUCAGAGGCCAGAGGUGGCUGGAAAUUAG